AGAAUUGAUCUGGUUCAGGAUGAACGCUGGCGGCGUGCUUAAUACAUGCAAGUCGAACGAAGCACUUUUGGCAGAUCCCUUCGGGGUGAAGCCGGUUGUGACUUAGUGGCGGACGGGUGAGUAACGCGUGGGUAACCUGCCUUAUACUGGGGGAUAACAGUUAGAAAUGGUUGCUAAUACCCCAUAAGCGCACGGCACCGCAUGAUGCAGUGUGAAAAGAUUUAUUGGUAUAAGAUGGACCCGCGUCUGAUUAGUUAGUUGGUGAGGUAACGGCCCACCAAGACGACGAUCAGUAGCCGACUUGAGAGAGUGAUCGGCCACAUUGGGACUGAGACACGGCCCAGACUCCUACGGGAGGCAGCAGUAGGGAAUAUUGCACAAUGGGGGAAACCCUGAUGCAGCGAACCGCCGCGUGAGCGAUGAAGUAUUUCGGUAUGUAAAGCUCUAUCAGCAGGGAAGAUAAUGACGGUACCUGACUAAGAAGCCCCGGCUAACUACGUGCCAGCAGCUGC
rnacentral:rRNA from 1 species